rnacentral:lncRNA from 1 species
AUGGAGUGUGACAAGGCCAGGUGACAGGCCUGACAUGUGGUGUCCACAUCCAGAAGGGAGACCCUGGAGGGAUGACCCUCCACUGCCACCCCCUCCCAUCAGGCUCUGGACACCCUCGAGCCUCCCACCAUCCACCUUACCAGAUCCCCCCAAGAGUCCGGGAAGCUCACUCCCCCAGGGGACCAGGAGCACAGCCCCUUCCAUUCCUAACGGGCCUGACUCCCAAAGGGGGGUGAGGAAAGAAAAAGCCAUUUCACAUCGACUUAUUCUUCUGGCCCCAGGCAGCAGCACAGGGCGCAGGGUGGGCCUCUGCAGACACGAUGGCUCCGUGGUCAGGGAGGGGCCACCUCCCAUGUGCCUGGGGAGGGGCCCUCCCAAGCCCCUGCGUGGCAGCGCCAAGGGGUUGGAGUCAGCCCCAGCACACACAGGGCCCUGCUCACUGGUGGCCAUUGUCAGCGCCACCUCCACCUUCAGGAGCCUGCCACGUGCCUGCCCUCGGUCACUUAGCCCUCCCUGGCACGCACCACUUUGUCCACACACCCUGUGUGUAAGUGGUGACAGCGGUGACAGCUCAGGCGUCACCUGAUCGGGCCGACUCUAAGCCUUAGUCCUUCCUUGUCCUGUUGCGCCGGACAAGCCUCUGGGAGGCGACGGUGGGACAGCCACAGGGUUCUUGGCUCAGCCCCCAGGAGUGGGGAGCUGGGGCUCUGGACGGAGGUGGGCACUCGAGGCUGGUGUGGCCUCCUGGGUGAGGGCCAGGCUCGGGAGAGGCAGCCAGGCGGCCCCAAGCCACCCCAGGAACAAAGCACCAGCACACACCUCCACUGGUUUGCUAGGGCUGGGAGAAGUUGGAGUGUUUCUGUGGUGGCUGUGGCAGCCCACGGCCCCAAGACCCUGGCUUCCUUCUGCUCCCACCUUUUCAGGCCCCUUCCCCAACAAGCAGCUACUGUAGGACCCAGUGGGGGCUAGGGCACCAGCAGCUGCCAUUACCCAUGCUGGGUCCUGAUGGUUCCUGACCAGCCUCAACCGUGGAUUCCAAGCUGGGGAAGGAAGAAGCAGGCCGGGAGUGGGGAGGGAGACAGUGAAGGACACCCAAACACACACACACACACACACACACACACACACACACACACACACACAGAAGGAACAGUUUCAGCUUUGUUUCCCAGUAAUCUCACUUAAAAAGAACACUUGGGUUUACCAUGUUCACAUAAUCUCGUUGCUCUGAGAAUGAACUUAUUCUUCCUCCCAGCUUGGCCAUGUGUUCCUCCCCAUUGCCCAAGUCCCCUCAUGACAUCAUCUCCCACUGCCAUGUCCUUUCCUUGGGGACCUCCAAGUCCCUGGAGUUUGGGGACUGCAGGGUGGGUGGAGGGGCCCACAAGCUCUGCAGGGAGCCAGAAGGAAACGGUCUGUCCCACCCCAGGGCUGAGCACCUCGCUGGGAGAUGAUACCCACACCUGGAAAUAGCUCAAGGGCCGCGUGAGGCCGCACGACACCCACGCCAGUAUGAGACACCUGGCCAUGCGGCAUUCCUGGCCGACUGCUGGCAGCUGCAGACUUUGUCAGCCAGGUGAUGUCCCCGGGAUCUCUGGGCAGGCAGGGCACACAGGAGGCAGCUCACGCUCACUCAUCAUGGCGAGGCAGGUCGUGUGGAACUUCCUUGGUCUUCCUCAUCUGCGCCCCACCCAGCCUGGCAGAUGGUGAUGCUGUGAGUGCCAGGGAAACACACACACGCACACACACACACAUGCACACAUGUACAGACAGGUGCACAUGCCUGGGAGAGUCUGUGCUGCUCAGCUUCCGAGGGCAGCUCCCCAGGUCUCCCCCCGGGUCUGCGGUGGGAGGCGAGUCUUUUAACAUCAGCUCAAACCAAACAGGAUGAGGAGGGCAAAUCGGCCGUCCCCAGUAAAUCCUAGGGAGUCCCUCCAAGGCAAACAGAAAAUGCACCCCAGCUUUCGCUUUUAGGGGUUUGAGUUGCGAGUUUCCAGUCUGCGGAGUGCGAUGGCCGGGUGUAAGUCUGAAACCCUCUGGGGGAGAGAAGCCGCACAGUGCAGGGGUACACAUCCCAGAUCCACUCCCCAGCUGUGAGGCCCAGGCGCAUUCCGCGUUCCCCGCCCAUCUCCACCUCCGAGGGUUGCGGGAGGCUGAGCAGUUAGAACCGUGGCUGGCAUACGGAGGGCACUCGGUAAACGUGGCUGUGCUGAGCUGUGGGCCUCGAAGGAGUCUCGCGGGGCUGCUGUACCAAUGACCUUGCACUGGGUGGCCUAAAACAACAUGUGUUUCCUCACAGCUCGGGGGACCAGAGCUCAGAAUCUGGGGGUCACAGAGGAGGGUCCAUGCUCAUCCAGGUCAGCUCUAGGGGCUGCAGGCCACCCCUAAUCUAGGAUGGUCUUAUGUUGAGGUCCUUAAUUACAUCCACAAAGACCCUUUCCCCAAAUAAGUCCCCACGCACAGUUCCCAGGGACAGCCUCUGGGGCAGCAUCACCACCCACUCAGUCCUCCAUGCACCCCCUUGCGCUAUCACGUAACUUGGAUCAGGUCCACGCGUGUGGCUUUGCGGCUUUCCUUUGUCACAGCGUGUCACAACUGUUUUCCCGGGUGUCACUGCUGUGGUUUGAGUUUGUGUGUCCCCAGCCUUCAUAUGUUGGAACCUGAGACCCAAGAAGAUCGUUAUAAGACGUGGGGCCUUUGGAAGGUGAUUAAGUCACCAGGGUCCCCAUUGAAGCGCUUGGGAAGCCAUCGAGGCCCCCUCCCCUUUGUCCUCUCACCUUCCGCCGGGAGAGGACACAGCAAGAGGCACCCACUGGGAGGCAGAGAGCAGCCCCCACUCCCACUGAGGCUGCUGGCACCGAGACCCUGGACUUCCAGCCUCCAGAAGCGUGAGAAAUAAAUGUCUAUUGUGUGUCAAUG